UGGGCUCGGCCCAUUAGGAGAUCCCAACCUGGCUUGAACAUUUGGGUUGGAUAAGUUUUGUUUGGCCCAUUGUUAAACAACUCGAAACGGAAGAGCGUCCUUCGUCCAAGCAUUUGCCGAGUAGAAAGUUUCGAACUUUGUGCAACUUCUCUCUCACGCACCGACAGUCAGUUCUAUUCAUUAGCUUGUGUGAUUUAAACAAUGGAUUCUUUGCCAAAAAAUGAAUCAGUACCAGCGAACAACGUCAAAACUCUAGUAUCAUUCUACUCUAACUACCUCUAUAACCGUUUUCUCACUUUUUCCCAACUUCAAUGAAUCCCAACGAUUUCAUAGCAAAAAUCGCAAGCAUGAACAACUCCAAAAAACGAAUUUGUGGGAAGACUGGUCUGCCCCUUCCCUUACCCCUCGGCACCAUUACUGUUUCGCUUGAUAUGCCCUCUGCGUAAGAUACUAAUAUCCAUUAUCAUACUUGUUAACAUUUUUCUUUCAUCCAUUUUGCACCCUUCAUUUAUUAAGAGAAAUGCAAUUAAAAUAGUUGGCCCUUUGUCGUGGAAAUCCCUCAAAAAAUCUUGAUCCGGGAUCAGUUUCAUCAACCAAACGAAAACUAACCGAGCUUUACUCAACCCACAACUCCCACCUGGUUGCCACAAGCUUUCACCCCACAAAGGAGACACUUGGUGAUUGGUUUGCAUGCCACAAAGGAAGAGAAAUAGAGUAGCAGUUAAAACCUCAAGGAAGAAGAACCAAACCAGCCAAGAAACUCACGUUUUUUUCUCUUUCUU
rnacentral:lncRNA from 1 species